rnacentral:piRNA from 1 species
UACUUCAAUCUGUAGGAAGGGAUCUACAUG